GUUUUGAAAGUCAGGUGUAAAAUAGGCCUAUGAAGGUCUGCCUUCCAUUAAAAUGCCUUUUUUUAUCAAUCCCGAAGCCAUAUACCAAGAGCUGACUAAACACAUUAUAAAGGCUGUUAAUUGCUGUAGGAAAGCUGCUCUGUCGUUUGUAAAGCUUUCUUUUAUUAGCCCCAGAUUUCUCUUUAGUGAAACUCAGGUCACUCUCUUAUAGCAGUCUUGUGACAAAUAAAACCAAAAAGAGCAUCAGUCAGCCACGCAGAUGGCACAAAGUGUACAUCAUUGCGUAUUCAGUGCUGCUCCGGCUGCUGACACCGAGGACACAUGACUUUUGGCUUUGAAAAGCUGUAAUCUAGAAGGAAAGCAAGGAAAAAGUAGAUAAGUGUACAUAGUAUAUAAAUGGUGGCACUAAAGUCAAGGGCAUCAGUUUUAUGGCCAGAUCCCUUCAGUCCAUAUUACAAAUCUAUCAUUUCCAAGGGUAUCCAUAUGGAGUCAAUGAGAUGACAGGGAUUUACCACAGAAGAAGUGAGGAACUCAAGCUCUGCCUUUGAAGGGAGGUUCUUAAGGAAGAAUUCAAGUGUUUCCAUCCAAGAAAGGUAAAAUCAACAGAACACAAGAGAGAAAAAAAAAUGGCCUUUGAAAGAAAAGUUGAUGUUGCACAGACAAAAGGAGUGUCUCUCUCUGCCCUUCACUGUAAGAGCUUAAGAUUUCCUUUCACCAGAAAGAUUUUAGAAUGUCUCAGCGAUCCAGGUGGCAAUUGAGGCUACGCCUCAGGCAAGAAAGUCACUUCCUGCUUCUGAAAAGAACAGAAAUGAGUUUUAGUUCUACAACUGUGAUCCUGAGAUGGCGAGCUGAGCAAACACUCCCACCUACCCGAGAAUUGUGGAUGAAAUAAAAGAAUUUUUUGUUUCA